rnacentral:rRNA from 1 species
AGUGAACGCUGGCGGUAGGCCUAACACAUGCAAGUCGAACGGCAGCACAGUAAGAGCUUGCUCUUACGGGUGGCGAGUGGCGGACGGGUGAGGAAUACAUCGGCAUCUACUUUUUCGUGGGGGAUAACGUAGGGAAACUUACGCUAAUACCGCAUACGACCUACGGGUGAAAGCAGGGGAUCUUCGGACCUUUCGCGAUUGAAUGAGCCGAUGUCGGAUUAGCUAGUUGGCGUGGUAAAGGCCCACCAAGGCGACGAUCCGUAGCUGGUCUGAGAGGAUGAUCAGCCACACUGGAACUGAGACACGGUCCAGACUCCUACGGGAGGCAGCAGUGGGGAAUAUUGGGCAAUGGGCGCAAGCCUGAUCCAGCCAUACCGCGUGGGUGAAGAAGGCCUUCGGGUUGUAAAGCCCUUUUGUUGGGAAAGAAAAGCAGCAGGUUAAUACCCCGCUGUUCUGACGGUACCCAAAGAAUAAGCACCGGCUAACUUCGUG